ACAUUUCUUUUAGAUUGUUUUAAAAGUAAAGUCUGCCCACUGUGUAUAUAAAAGGGCCGCGGUAUUUUGACCGUGCAAAGGUAGCAUAAUCAUUAGUCUCUUGAUUGGGGAAUGGUAUGAAUGGCUUAAUGAUUUUUUUCUUUUUUUAUUAUUGUGUUAUAAUUUUGAUUUUAAGUGAAAAUACUUAAAUAUUUUAGUUAGACGAUAAGACCCUAUAGAAUUUUAUUUUAAUUGAAUAUUUUUAUUUUAUUAGAGUUUAAAUGGGGCAUUUUAUGAAUAUAAAUAAUUUCUUUUUAAAGGAUUAAAAAAUAUCUUAGCUUAAAUAUUUUAAAAAAAUUACCUUAGGGAUAACAGCGUUAUUUAUUUUAAGAGUUCAUAUCGACAAAUUAGAUUGCGACCUCGAUGUUGAAUUAAAAUACCUAUGUGGAGCAGCAUUUAUAUGAGGUAGUCUGUUCGACUAUAAAAAUUUUACAUGAUUUGAGU
rnacentral:rRNA from 1 species